GGUGGGGUCGCAUAGCGGCCGAGUGCGCUUGCUUGGAAAGCAGGUAGGUUCGAAAGGGCCUCGUGGGUUCGAAUCCCACCCCCACCG
rnacentral:tRNA from 1 species